CGACACCGCCCGUCACACCAUGGGAGUCAGUUGCUCUAGAAGUCGGUGAGCUAACCUUCGGGAAGCGAGCCGCCUAAAGAGUGUCUGGUAACUGGGGUG
rnacentral:rRNA from 1 species